rnacentral:rRNA from 1 species
UACGUAGGGUGCGCGCGUUGUCCGGAUUUAUUGGGCGUAAAGAGCUCGUAGGCGGUUUGUCGCGUCGGCCGUGAAAUCUCCACGCUUAACGUGGAGCGUGCGGUCGAUACGGGCAGACUUGAGUUCGGUAGGGGAGACUGGAAUUCCUGGUGUAGCGGUGAAAUGCGCAGAUAUCAGGAGGAACACCGGUGGCGAAGGCGGGUCUCUGGGCCGAUACUGACGCUGAGGAGCGAAAGCGUGGGGAGCAAACAGG